GGGGAAUUAGCUCAAAUGGUAGAGUGCUUGCUUAGCAUGCGAGAGGUAGUGUGAUCGAUGCCCACAUUCUCCA
rnacentral:tRNA from 1 species